rnacentral:rRNA from 1 species
CACGUAGGGGGCAAGCGUUGUCCGGAUUUUAUUGGGCGUAAAGAGCUCGUAGGCGGUUUCGGUAAGUCGGGUGUGAAACCUCCAGGCUCAACCUGGAGACGCCACCCGAUACUGCUGUGACUAGAGUCCGGUAGGGGAGCGUGGAAUUCCUGGUGUAGCGGUGAAAUGCGCAGAUAUCAGGAGGAACACCGGUGGCGAAGGCGGGUCUCUGGGCAUUACCUGACGCUGAGGAGCGAAAGUGUGGGGAGCGAACAGG